UAUGGCAUAGGCAGUUGUGAAAUGAGUUAAUAUUGAUAUAAGCACACAUUAGAAAAAAAUUUAUAGGGAAGGGAAUGGAGCUUGGCUUUGAGAAAUGGGCAGACAUCCUUCAAAUUUAUUUUUGUUAUAUACAACUUUGUAAGUGACAGUUUAAAUUAUCUUAGAAAACAGACCAGGUCUUCAGAAGGCCCUGAAAUAUAUGUCUUUCUUUUUCUGAUGGGAUCCCAAAUGGAGUUUCUUGAUUCUUGCCAAUGUUAAGUCAGUAUUCAUUUUCACCACUGUAGAAUGAAAAGAGAAUGAGAAUGAAAUGUUUUUUAAAUGUGAAGGAACCAUAUUUCCCCUUUUAUGGGUAAAUGUUUUCACAAAAUGUUUCUCCAAUAUAGUGAAACAUAAAUUUACAGAUUCAAAACAUCUCAGUGAACCCCCAUCAUUGUAAAUCCAAAGAAAACAAUGCCUAGGCAUAUCAUAGUUGUAUUGGACAGUGACCUUCUAAAACUGAUGUCCUUUCUGGAACUUCAGAAUGUGACAUUAUUUGGAAAUAUGGUUGCUGCAGAUGUAAUCAAGUUAAGAUGACAUCAUAUUGGAUUAGAGUGAACCUUAAUCCAUUAUGACUAGUGUCUUCAUAAUAAGAAGGGAAGAUGAGACAGAGACAUGAGACACAAUGUCAUGUGAUGAUAGAGGUAGAGAUUGGACUGAUGCAGCUGAAAGCCAGGAACACCAAAAUAUGAUCAUCACUACCAAAAGAUGGAAGAGGUAAGGAAGGAUUCUAUUCAGAGUCUCAGAGGGAAGACACCUUGAUUUUGGACUUCUAGUUUUUGGAACUGUGAAAAAAUAAAUCUCUGUUGUUUAAAGCGGCCCAGUUUUGAGUAUUCUGUCACAGCAUAACUAGAAAAUUAAUGCACUCAUCUAAACACUUAAACCAAAGAUAAAAUCUUGAAAGCAGCUGAAGAAAAAAUACAUUAUAAAUAUUUAUAUGAAAACAAAGAUGUAAGUUAUUGCUGACUUUAUAUUAGAAACUAUGGGCAAGAGAGUGCAACAAGAUCUUUAAAGUACUGAAAGAAAAAUAUACCAACAUAGAAUUCUAUGUACAGUAAAAAUGUGCGAAAUAAGGUGAAGUACUGACAUUUAAAAAAAAAACAAAGGUAAGAGAAUUAAUCACAAAUAAUGCUACAUUAAAAUGUAUGAUGUGGCACAUUAUCAACAUGACAAUUAACGUGAUUCAUCAAAAUGUUUUACAUUUUGAGCCCCACUCUGAAUUACUCAAACAGUUGAAUGUUUGUUAUGGACUGAAUGUUUGUGUCCCCCCACCUCCAAAUUCUUAUGUUGAAUUCCUAUCCCCUAGAGUGGCUGCAUUUGGAGAUGGACCUCUAAGGAAGUAAUUAAGAUUACUGAGGUCACAAGGGUUGGGUCCUGAUCCAAUAGGAUUUGUGUCUUUAUAAGAACAGACACAAAAGUGUUCUCUCCCUUCCAUGCGUGCACUCUCUCUCUUCCCCUCCCUGCCCUUGCCUCCUUGCGUCUGCAUAAAGAAGAGGUUAUAUGGGCACAUUGUGAGAUGGUGGCCUCCCAUGAGCCAAGAAAAGAGGGCUUAAAAUGAAUCCUACCUGGCUGGCACCUUGAUCUUGGACUUCCUAGCAUCCAGAAAUGUGAGAAAUAAAUUCUUUCUCUUUCUCUUUCUCUUUCUCUUUCUCUUUCUCUUUCCCUUUCUCUCUUUCUCUUUCUCUUUCUCUUUCUCUUUCUCUUUCUCUUUCUCUUUCCCUUUCCCUUUCCCUUCCCUUUCUGUUUUCCUUUCCCCUUUCCUUUCCUUCUUUUCUCUUUCUUCCUUUCUCUUUCUUUCUGUUUCUUUCUCCCUCCCUCUCUUUCUUUCUCUCUCUUUUUCUUUUCUUUCUUCUUAUUGGGAUGGUUCUCUAUUUCCCAGGCUGAAAUAGCUCACUGCAGCCUCAAACUCCUGGGCUUAAGCAAUCCUCCCACCUCAGGAUCCUGAGUUGCUGGGAUGGCAGUUGUGAGCCACCAUGCCCACCUCGUGAGAAAUUUCUGUUUAAGCCACUAGCCUGUGGUAUUUUCUUAUGGCAGCCUGAGCAGAUUACUGCAAUGUCCUUUAAGUUAAAAUAAAUUUUCCCUAAGCACAGCAAGCACUUCUAUUAGUAAGUAGGAGGCUCAGUCAGUCUUCACGUAUGCAAAAGUAUUAAUAGAAUAGGCCUGGGAAUGAAAGUGCCUGGUGUUCUAUCUCAAACAGUCUACCCACUCAGGGAAACAGCUGUGAAGCAGACAUAGCACUUCUCCAUUGUCUUCCUUCCUCAGUGGUACAUGCCUGGUUUUGUUUAUUUUUUUCUUAGACUAGACUAAUCUCCUUUUGUGCUGAUCCUUCUCUCUGUAAAAUCUCUUUUCUAGGAGCAAUUAUAUAGUAUCUUAAAAGUGUUUGGACACGUGGAUCAUUUUGGAACAUACACCAAGAAAAUAAUCAGUGGUACACAUAAAAAGGUUUUAUUAUAACUAUUAUCUUUAAAUAAUCAGAAUAUAUUUAUGUAUGUGUAUAAUGUGUUUAUUUGUAAUACACACUGGUUAAAUACAUUGAGAUAAAUCCUUUUAAUAUAAUGCUAAGCAGAAUGCUGAGCACCUAAGAAGAUGUAAAUUAUCAAAAAUACAUUUUUUCUCAGUGAUAAUCUGUGACUUUUUUAACAUCUUAAAAAUUUUCCCUAUUUUCUACAACAGCAUGGAAAAUUAGAAAUGCCAUCUUUAGCAGCUUUAUCGAGGUAUGAAUAGCUUGCAGAAAAGUACACACAUUUAAAAUGUACAAGUUAAUUAAUUUUGACAUAUGUAUAAUCUCAUGAAACCAUCACCACAGUAGAGACAGCAAACUGUAAUAUUACCUCUAGAAAUGUCCUUGGGUCUUUUUGCAAUCCCACCCUUCUGCCCUCCUCCCUGACCUUUUUAUUCCCAGGAAAACACAGGUCUAA
rnacentral:lncRNA from 1 species